UGGGUUGCCCAGGGAGGUUGUUGAUGCCCCAUCCCUGGAGGUUUUUAAGGCCAGGUUGGACGAGGUUUUGUGCAACCUGGUCUAGUGGUAGAUUCCCUGGCUCAUGGCAGGGGUGUUGGAACUGGAUAGUCUUUAGGGUCCUUUCCAGCCUUAAUGAUUCUAUGAUUCUAUACCUGGGAUUUUCCCUCCCACAGCGAGGUUACAGCGUGUUGCUGGAUGCGCCAGAUGACCUUUAGACCAGUCCUCAAUAAAGGAGGCUCUUGGCAAGGCAAAUCAGAGUGCAGCUCCAAGGUCACCUGUGAGCUGAUCAUUUUUUGGCGAGAAGGGAGCAUUGCUGCAAGGAUGAUCUCAUUUUACCCAGCUGGUGCAAUAAGUCCUUGAUCUCUCCAUCCUUUCCGUAAUGUCAGGAUCAAGACCCGUCAGCAGCAGCACCGUUGCGAAAGCAACGUGUCAGAGCAGAGAAAGUCCAGAGUUCAUCCACUAAUCAUCUGCUUUCCCUUCAAAUGAUGCUGCUGGUUCUUUGCAUCUGAAGCCCAAGAUUCGUGAGAUCCGGUGCAUUUUCUGAAGCCCUGACUCCUGGACUCUCAUGAUUCUGAGAGGCUCUGAGGUUUAAAAGCAAUCCUUAGCUUUCUAACCCUAAUAUUUUCAAGAAAAAAAAGAAUCUUCUGAAAAUGAAUCUGCAUUGUAUGUAGUUAUGUUAUUGUAUGUAGUUAAUUUUAAAAGUGCAAGGGAUUAAUAUUUUCUUAUUAUUUUAUUUAUAAACAUCGAUAAUAUUUUAAUUUUCUUGCUUAAUUUAGUGGACUCACCAUUUUACACUACAUGAUCACACCCAUAUUCAUACAUUCCAUUGGAAAAUUCAGGAAUUACAUCGUUCCUGAUCACAUGUGGCUUGUCAACAUUUCCUAAAUUGUGAUAAAGAUUUUCUGAGGAUUGUCUUACAGGGACAUCAUUACAGAGUGUCUGAGUGUCUUUAGUUACACAGAAACAUCACCCCCACGAUGCAGUUUCAUGGAAUAAGUGAUACAUUGAACUUCAGUAAUAGGGAAACCUGGCUUGGAUGUGUAUCUUGUAGCUGAUUAGUGUGGGUGUCUAAUAAUGAACAAAAAAUGUUAUUCUUUGCAAAGAGACACCUCCUCCCUCUGUCUGAAUCCAGCCCCAUUAUGCCCACACGUGUCCCUCCAUGAUCUUCCCCCUUGCACUUGCCUUUGGGGAAUGCAAAGGGAGGAAAUGUUAAUAAAGGAGCAUUUGCCUUUUGCUUGUAGUAA